AAGAAUUUAAGUUAAAUAAACUAUUAACCUUCAAAGUUAAAAAUAAAGUAUAAACUUUAAGUCUUA
rnacentral:tRNA from 1 species